CCACUCAAAAAAGAAGUCUGCAUCUCUGGUUAGUAUUGACCAUGAGUAGGUCCAUGAAACACAUGGUCCUUCGUUGCUGGAUGUGCCAUGUACAAACAGUCAAACACUCAGUUCGAUCAGCCCAAAUGACAGAGACAUCUUCUCAGAAGAAACAACGGCGAAUGAGAGAACAAUAUGUUGGGAUAAAGGCAGAAGAUAAAGAAGCUGUGUUGCGUAAGAAGUGUGUGUACAAGAUGGGAAAAUGCCAUACUGUCCCAUUAUCUGACCAAUCCAACAAUCCUGAGGCGCCAGGUGGAUCAAACAUCCCCUCACCAAGUAAUCUUCAGCUCUUUGCCUGUGUAUUUUCAUGCAUUCGCCACUUCAUAUUCAUAUUGCGGAUGCCUUGCUCCAUUUGACAACUUUUCCGCUCUUUCUGGGUGGUGUUGACACAUUUUCAAGGAGGUUGCGUCAUUGACAGCCAUGUUUACUUGAUUUUCCGUAUAGCAUAAUAUUGACCACAUUCAAGUAAACAUUUCCAAGGACUCCGAUGCACAUGGAAUUUCCGAGCCUGUGGGGCAGGCUGCUGAACUUGAAGAAUGCUCGGACACCACCAAAGAGGAAGAAACCUGCCAUGAUGAUGACGAUGAUGAUGAAUGUCGGCUAUUCCGUGCACAAGGUUACUUAUAACACUGCAACAAAAGCCAUCAUUGGGGUUGACGAAUGUUGAGGUUAAGGUACACACAUUUGCUGGAUUGCUUUAUCAUCAUCCAACAUUCGUGUGCAUAUCUAUGAGAAGAACUUCUUUGUUUUGGUGUUCAUGAAGCUUACCUUGAUUAAAUUUUUUCUUGUUGGAAACAGUUAGC